rnacentral:rRNA from 1 species
CAGUAGCCACGGGAAUACGAAGGGUGCAAGCGUUACUCGGAAUUACUGGGCGUAAAGCGUGCGUAGGUGGUGGUUUAAGUCCGUUGUGAAAGCCCUGGGCUCAACCUGGGAAUUGCAGUGGAUACUGGGUCACUAGAGUGUGGUAGAGGAUAGUGGAAUUUCCGGUGUAGCAGUGAAAUGCGUAGAGAUCGGAAGGAACAUCUGUGGCGAAGGCGACUAUCUGGGCCAACACUGACACUGAGGCACGAAAGCGUGGGGAGCAAACAGGAUUAGAGACCCCCGUAGUCCCUGUCUCUUAUAC